rnacentral:rRNA from 1 species
GUGCGCCUACACAUGCAAGUCGAGCGAACCUUCGAGGGGAGCGGCGAACGGCUGCGUAACACGUUGGAACCUACCCCGUACUCAGGGAUAACAUGCCGAAAGGUGUGCUAAUACCGGAUAGUCCCGCAAGGGUAAAGAUUUUUCGGUACGGGAGGGGCCUGCGGCGUAUCAGCUUGUUGGUAAGGUAAUGGCUUACCAAGGCUAUGACGCGUAGCUGGUCUGAGAGGACGACCAGCCAGAAUGGGACUGAGACACGGCCCAUACUCCUACGGGAGGCAGCAGUGAGGAAUCUUCCGCAAUGGGCGAAAGCCUGACGGAGCGACACCGCGUGGUGGAUGAAACUGAUUUUCAGCGUAAACACCUGUCCUGAGGGACGAAACUUUUGACGGUGCCUCAGAAGAAAGCACCGGCUAAUUCCGUGCCAGCAGCCGCGGUAAUACGGAAGGUGCAAGCGUUACUC